UACGGGGGGGGCAAGCGUUGUUCGGAAUUACUGGGCGUAAAGGGCGCGCAGGCGGUUAGGGAAGUCAAAGGUGAAAGCCCCCGGCUCAACCGGGGAAUUGCCUGUGAAACCACCUGACUGGAGUGCUGGAGAGGAAAGCGGAAUUCCCAGUGUAGCGGUGAAAUGCGUAGAUAUUGGGAGGAACAUCUGUGGCGAAGGCGGCUUUCUGGACAGACACUGACGCUGAGGCGCGAAAGCCAGGGGAGCAAACGGG
rnacentral:ncRNA from 2 species